CACUUCCCUUAACCGUAUCCCUGACGCCAACUAGCGCGUUAACUGCAGAAACCUUACUCUAAGUCGCAGCCUGAGCCCUGCUGGUGUGGGGAAUUAUAAGAUUCCAGAACUUGGUCACCUUUAAGACUCUUUCGAUCCUUUAGGGUCCAUUUUGGCGUCUAUCCCUCGUCUCUGACACGCCUGGCACACAUUGUGGUUAAGCACCAAAGCAAGAGCGCCUGGGUGGCUCAGUCGGUUAAACGUCUGAAUUCGGCUCAGGUCAUGAUCUCAUGGCUGGAUGCAGAAGUGAUGCCACAUGAUUUCUGGGUCCGGGCGGUGAGAUGAUCCCACGUAUUCUCUUGGGCCCCUACCUCGGCCAGAGAACGAGCUCAGACAGCUUGCUGUGGGUAAGAGAAUUUGUGGAGGAGGACUUUCCCGGCGAGGACAUUCCAGAUGAGCUGGUCCCCACCUGACCUGCCUGCUGACCGUAGAUUCAUGAACAAACCCAGCCUAGAUCAGCUCAACUUGGCCCAGACCGAAAGAACUGCCCACCUGACCACAGACUCAUGAGAAAUAAUAAAUUGUUAUU